rnacentral:rRNA from 1 species
GAUGAACGCUGGCGGCGUGCCUAAUACAUGCCAGUCGAGCGAACGGACGAGAAGCUUGCUUCUCUGAUGUUAGCGGCGGACGGGUGAGUAACACGUGGAUAACCUACCUAUAAGACUGGGAUAACUUCGGGAAACCGUAGCUAAUACCGGAUAAUAUUUUGAACCGCAUGGUUCAAAAGUGAAAGACGGUCUUGCUGUCACUUAUGGAUGGAUCCGCGCUGCAUUAGCUAGUUGGUAAGGUAACGGCUUACCAAGGCAACGAUGCAUAGCCGACCUGAGAGGGUGAUCGGCCACACUGGAACUGAGACACGGUCCAGACUCCUACGGGAGGCAGCAGUAGGGAAUCUUCCGCAAUGGGCGAAAGCCUGACGGAGCAACGCCGCGUGAGUGAUGAAGGUCUUCGGAUCGUAAAACUCUGUUAUUAGGGAAGAACAUAUGUGUAAGUAACUGUGCACAUCUUGACGGUACCUAAUCAGAAAGCCACGGCUAACUACGUG